CCUGAAGUGGUAAGUCGGAAAUUCCAUGAAGUACUAGGCGCAGUUUUAAAACUCUGGAAAGUGUUGCUUAAGAAGCCUCGACCAAUUCCAGCCAAUUGCGCUGAUGGAAGGUGGAAGUGCUUUAAGAAUUGUUUAGGUGCCUUAGAUGGGACAUAUAUAGAAGUUCAUGUGCCCAAAACUGACAAACCAAGAUUCCGUUCAAGAAAGAAUGAAGUUGCAACAAAUGUUCUUGGUGUAUGUGCGCCAGACAUGCAAUUCAUUUAUGUAUAUCCGGGUUGGGAAGGAUCUGCGGCUGAUGGGAGGGUGCUUCGAGAUGCUUUAUCAAGAUCAAAUGGCCUUAAGGUUCCUCGGGGGUGCUAUUAUCUAGUUGAUGCUGGGUACAAGAACUGUGAAGGGUUUCUUGCUCCAUACAGAGGGCAACGGUAUCAUCUAAAUGAUUGGAAAAACCCACCAACAAAAAAAGAGGAAUUGUUUAACAUGCUGCAUUCAUCAGCAAGAAAUGUGAUU